rnacentral:rRNA from 1 species
GUGCCAGCCGCCGCGGUAAUACGUAGGGGGCAAGCGUUGUCCGGAUUUAUUGGGCGUAAAGAGCUCGUAGGCGGUUUGGCAAGUCGGAUGUGAAAUCUCCAGGCUCAACCUGGAGGGGUCAUCUGAUACUGCUAUGACUAGAGGUCGGUAGGGGAGUGUGGAAUUCCUGGUGGAGCGGUGAAAUGCGCAGAUAUCAGGAGGAACACCCGUAGCGAAGGCGGCACUCUGGGCCGAUACUGACGCUGAGGAGCGAAAGCGUGGGGAGCGAACAGGAUUAGAAACCCGCGUAGUCC